GACGAACGCUGGCGGCGUGCCUAACACAUGCAAGUCGAACGGAACUGUUUUGAAAGAUUUCUUCGGAAUGAAUUUGAUUUAGUUUAGUGGCGGACGGGUGAGUAACGCGUGAGUAACCUGCCUUCAAGAGGGGGAUAACAUUCUGAAAAGAAUGCUAAUACCGCAUGACAUAUCGGAACCACAUGGUUUUGAUAUCAAAGAUUUUAUCGCUUGAAGAUGGACUCGCGUCCGAUUAGUUAGUUGGUGAGGUAACGGCUCACCAAGACCGCGAUCGGUAGCCGGACUGAGAGGUUGAACGGCCACAUUGGGACUGAGACACGGCCCAGACUCCUACGGGAGGCAGCAGUGGGGGAUAUUGCGCAAUGGGGGCAACCCUGACGCAGCAACGCCGCGUGAAGGAUGAAGGUUUUCGGAUUGUAAACUUCUUUUAUUAAGGACGAAAAAUGACGGU
rnacentral:rRNA from 1 species